rnacentral:rRNA from 1 species
UAGCGUAGUUCGGAAUUACUGGGCUUAAAGAGUUCGUAGGUGGUUGAAAAAGUUGGUGGUGAAAUCCCAGAGCUUAACUCUGGAACUGCCAUCAAAACUUUUCAGCUAGAGUAUGAUAGAGGAAAGCAGAAUUUCUAGUGUAGAGGUGAAAUUCGUAGAUAUUAGAAAGAAUACCAAUUGCGAAGGCAGCUUUCUGGAUCAAUACUGACACUGAGGAACGAAAGCAUGGGUAGCGAAGAGGAUUAGAUACCCUCGUAGUCCAUGCCGUAAACGAUGUGUGUUAGACGUUGGAAAUUUAUUUUCAGUGUCGCAGCGAAAGCGAUAAACACACCGCCUGGGGAGUACGACCGCAAGGUUAAAACUCAAAUGAAUUGACGGGACCCCGCACAAGCGGCGGAGCAUGCGGCUUAAUUCGAUGAUACCCGUAGAACCUUACCUGGACUUGACAUAUAGGGAAAAGUUAUAGAAAUAUAAUGUGCAUUAGCGCCCUAUACAGGUGGUGCAUGGCU